CCUACGGGGGGCAGCAGUGGGGAAUAUUGGACAAUGGGCGCAAGCCUGACCCAGCAACGCCGCGUGAGGGAAGAAGUCUUUCGGGUUGUAAACUUCUUUUAUCAGGGACGAAGCAAGUGACGGUACCUUAUGAAUAAGCCACUGCUAACUACGUGCCAGCCGCCGCGGUAAUACGUAGGGGGCAAGCGUAAUGCGGAUGUACGGGGUGAAAGGGGCGUGUCGGCGGGAGUGCAAGUCAGUGGUGAAAACCAUGGGCCCAACCCAUAGACUGCAUUUGAAACUGUACUGCUUGAGUGCUGGAGAGGUAAGCGGAAUUCCGGGUGUAGCGGUGAAAUGCGUAGAUAUAAGGAGGAACACCAGUGGCGAAGGCGGAUGGCCGGACAGCAACUGACGCUGAGGCGCGAAAGUGUGGGGAGCAAACAGGAUUAGAUACCCGGGUAGUC
rnacentral:rRNA from 1 species